rnacentral:rRNA from 1 species
CGGAUCGCAGGCUGCAACCCGCCUGCGUCAAGUUGGAAUUGCUAGUAAUCGCGGAUCAGCAUGCCGCGGUGAAUACGUUCCCGGGCCUUGUACACACCGCCCGUCACACCAUGAGAGUCGGGAACACCCGAAGUCCGUAGUCUAACCGCAAGGAGGGCGCGGCCGAAGGUGGGUUCGAUAAUUGGGUGAAGUCGUAACAAGGUAUC